GUCUCCGUGGCGCAAUGGUAGCGCGUUGGACUUCUACCACCUCUCAUCGGUCAUCCAAAGGCUGCGGGUUCGAGCCCCGCCGGAGAUG